AAGUCGUACGCUUCUUUUUCCACCGGAGCUUGCUCCACCGGAAAAAGAAGAGUGGCGAACGGGUGAGUAACACGUGGGUAACCUGCCCAUCAGAAGGGGAUAACACUUGGAAACAGGUGCUAAUACCGUAUAACAAUCGAAACCGCAUGGUUUUGAUUUGAAAGGCGCUUUCGGGUGUCGCUGAUGGAUGGACCCGCGGUGCAUUAGCUAGUUGGUGAGGUAACGGCUCACCAAGGCCACGAUGCAUAGCCGACCUGAGAGGGUGAUCGGCCACAUUGGGACUGAGACACGGCCCAAACUCCUACGGGAGGCAGCAGUAGGGAAUCUUCGGCAAUGGACGAAAGUCUGACCGAGCAACGCCGCGUGAGUGAAGAAGGUUUUCGGAUCGUAAAACUCUGUUGUUAGAGAAGAACAAGGAUGAGAGUAACUGUUCAUCCCUUGACGGUAUCUAACCAGAAAGCCACGGCUAACUACGUGCCAGCAGCCGCGGUAAUACGUAGGUGGCAAGCGUUGUCCGGAUUUAUUGGGCGUAAAGCGAGCGCAGGCGGUUUCUUAAGUCUGAUGUGAAAGCCCCCGGCUCAACCGGGGAGGGUCAUUGGAAACUGGGAGACUUGAGUGCAGAAGAGGAGAGUGGAAUUCCAUGUGUAGCGGUGAAAUGCGUAGAUAUAUGGAGGAACACCAGUGGCGAAGGCGGCUCUCUGGUCUGUAACUGACGCUGAGGCUCGAAAGCGUGGGGAGCAAACAGGAUUAGAUACCCUGGUAGUCCACGCCGUAAACGAUGAGUGCUAAGUGUUGGAGGGUUUCCGCCCUUCAGUGCUGCAGCUAACGCAUUAAGCACUCCGCCUGGGGAGUACGACCGCAAGGUUGAAACUCAAAGGAAUUGACGGGGGCCCGCACAAGCGGUGGAGCAUGUGGUUUAAUUCGAAGCAACGCGAAGAACCUUACCAGGUCUUGACAUCCUUUGACCACUCUAGAGAUAGAGCUUCCCCUUCGGGGGCAAAGUGACAGGUGGUGCAUGGUUGUCGUCAGCUCGUGUCGUGAGAUGUUGGGUUAAGUCCCGCAACGAGCGCAACCCUUAUUGUUAGUUGCCAUCAUUUAGUUGGGCACUCUAGCAAGACUGCCGGUGACAAACCGGAGGAAGGUGGGGAUGACGUCAAAUCAUCAUGCCCCUUAUGACCUGGGCUACACACGUGCUACAAUGGGAAGUACAACGAGUCGCGAAGUCGCGAGGCUAAGCUAAUCUCUUAAAGCUUCUCUCAGUUCGGAUUGUAGGCUGCAACUCGCCUACAUGAAGCCGGAAUCGCUAGUAAUCGCGGAUCAGCACGCCGCGGUGAAUACGUUCCCGGGCCUUGUACACACCGCCCGUCACACCACGAGAGUUUUAACACCCGAAGUCGGUGAGGUAACCUUUGAGCCAGC
rnacentral:rRNA from 1 species